AGCUUUCGCCCCCCCCCCCCCCCCUUCUCCUUCUCUGUCCCAUGCUGCCCCUCUCAGAGGAACAGAUCAGCUAGCUUUAGGAUAAACUUGUGUCGAGAGAAAGAGUUGUAGCACAGGCCUUUCAGACUGAGCAGCUCCCAGCAAAAUGCAUGCUCUCUUGCUUGUCCAAGAGGACAGAGUCACAGCAAAACUCUCCUUUUGUAUAUGAUUUAUACAAAUAUAUCACAUACUUUUUAUAUAUGUAUAUAAUAAUAAAAGGGACUGCUCGUAUUUUUGACUACAAAUUGGAUUUUGUUCCUUGCUUUGUACUGCUUUAAUUUCUUCUUCAUUCUCUACUAACAAAUUUCCUUCUGAAAGACACAGUGAUGUUGACUUUUUAGUUCCUAGAGGACAAAUGAGUGACACGUCAGGAAUCCAAAGCUAAAGUAGGGGAGCCCAGGCCCAGCAAGAGAGGGAAAGAAAUAAAGUUGUCAGGGAGUUCAAGCUGUUUUUGCUCUCUCGACUACAGCUGAGAAUCCAGCCUCCAAUACUGGUUUUUUAUGCAGCUUUUGUCUUUGCCUCUUAAGGGAAGCCAGGGAUCCUAGCUGACAUUGAAGAUGCUUCAAUUCUUUCUUUCAAGAGCUGAUACCAUGGAUAUGUGUUGAGUGCUUUCGAACCUGCACAGAAAACAGCAAGUCAAUGAGCCUUGUUUAUGUAAUACAUAAAUGCAAUUUCGAAGAGAUUGUUUUAAAAUAUGUACUUAAAUGUGGUGAAUUAAAGGGACCUGCUUUUCUACUGUCUUGACACCGAUGGGACUCCAUUGAAACCAGACACCUGGAGAAGAUGGCUAAUCUAGCACAAGAUGAAACAAAGAAGCAACCAUACAUACUACGCACCAAAAUUCUUGGGCUGGUAGAGGCACAGAAGUGACAAAGGCAGUCAGGGGAGGUGAUGCUAGGGUGCCAUUGUGUCCAGAUCAGGCAGUGGGAGGAAAUGAUGAAUAAUUAGUGCUGUCAUCUGCUCUUCAAACCUCUCUGAAGAAGGCAAUACUGGCAGAAGUGAAGAGAUAGUGAUCCACUCCCUCAUCAACUGGCUGGCCACUGUGGGAAACUGUUACCUUGAAAGAAGUCUUUUCAGUGGGUCUCGCCUGAGGCUCCAGCUCUGCGUAGGCAGCCCUGUACACUUCUGUUCUCAUUCUGUGCUGCAUCUUCAGUGAUCAUUCCUGCCCAGACAGCAGUGCAUUGCAAGCCUGAGUCAGUAAAGGCAUCUGACCUGUCGGUAAUUUAUGCUCAUUUCACUCUUGCUCUAUAAAUAACUCUACAGAGCGCAAACCAGUGAAAAGAGACAUCCUUGUUAUCAUGUGAAAAAUAGCUAGGUUUGUGUGCACGUAUUCGAGCUGCUUCUGACUACCUGGCAGCCUAGAAAGGCCAGAAACAUGUCCGAAACAUGCCUGAUAAGUCACCCCAUCAGUAGCUUGAAGGCUGAAACACAUGUGCAAAGAAUGGGACAGACUAUGGAUAUUUGCGGUGUAAAGUCCGCUUUCUGUUAAAUGGUCAAAAAUCCAAAGGGGCUCAGUGGAUGAAUCUCUACUGGCAUGCCUGAGAGUUGAAUUUGGUCUUUUCCUCUUUCCUGCAAAGGGUCAGAGUACAGGUCUUCUACUGAACACUCUGUCUUUAUUUGAGUGCAAAUGGCCUAAAAUGCAGUGGGAUUUACUCACCUGUGUGUUGGACUGUGCACUCUAUGAAAAAUUAUACUAAAGAACUCUACAGACCUGUUUGAUCUGCAGAAAUGGUGGCACAAUCAGUCAACAAGAGAGGGCUUGGCUUGGAUGUUUUGAUUGCUCAGUGUCCUAGCAGAAGGCUGUUUUCUGAUUCUCUCUGCCCCUCUCUCUCAGGUAAAACCAAAAUAACUUCAGGGCUGAAGUUAUUAUGUACCAGUGCAUCUCAGUGUAAUUCAUUCACAGAAGAAUAGUUACCAAUCCCAGAAGCAAAUUUCUAGCAUCUGUGUCUCAACUGACUCUAAAUGGAGUGUAUGGCAUUGGGAGAGUGCUUUAUUUCUGAUGACUUUGAAAAGAGAACUGUCUAAAGUAUAAAACAAGGGCAAAGUGAGCAAGAAACAUUGAAGGUACCUAUGGAAGACUACCUAACGCUAGCCACAGCACAGUUCUUCAGCUGCUGUAGGUUGCUGUGUAGCCCUCCCAAUGUACAGGGGAGAGGUAUGGCGUAUUGUCCACCGAGGGCUUGGCCCAUGAUGUCUGCCUUUGCAGGGCUUUUUUAGGAACGUUCAGAUGUCUUUCAGCCUUGAUAACUCAGGAUGACAUAGUCUGAAAUGGGGAUAAAGGGCAAAAGGGGAGAGGGAGUGGGCUUUUUUCUUUUUCUUUUCUUUUUUUUAAGCCAUUAUUUUGUAUGAACAAAGGAGCAAGUUUGCCAAAACCCUAAGAAAUACAGAUUUUGUGGACCUUAACAAUACUACCAUUCUUUCCAAAAAUCACAUUAUGUCCCACCUCAUUUGAGCUGUUGAAUGGUUAUGUCAUGCAGAAAGGUGGAAGAGAGAGAAAAGUCUCCAAACUCUUUCAGCUAGAUCAGUGCAAUCAAUAAAGCUCACAAAGGUGAUUAUUCUCUGAUUUAAGACCUGUUCUUCUGUUUGCGGUAGUAUUUGCUUGCACUGACCAAAAUGCUUUAGGGACAAAAAGAAGUUUAAACUCAUGUAAAAAUAUCUUCUUCAGGAAAUGGUUUUCAUCCUUCUCUUGUCCAAUAAACUUUCUUUCCUUUUCUCAUCUUCUUUUGGGGAGAGGAAUAAUUUAUUUUUUCUCAUGAGCAAGGCUUAAUUUUGCUUUUUGAAGGCAUCUUCUUAGAAAAAGCAACUGGGGCUGUGCACAGCUGGCUUUUGAAAAUUGAGUUUCUACUGAAACUUCCCUGCUAUUAUCUUGACAAUCUUAUUAUUAUCAAAGCAUGCAAAUAUUAGGUAUGACAAUGAAUGCUCACGGCAGGGAAGAACGUAGCUUGGCCAUCAGAGGAAGGGGGCCACUAACAAUUGUGCCCCCUGUUGCAAAAGCCAUAAUAAUUUAAUAUUCUCAUACUGGGAGUCUCCAUUUUCUUUGGCCUGCAUAAGGCUGCUGAGUGCGUUGUUUCCUUUUGGCCAAAUCACAAGGGCCGUUCCUUGAACAUUUUGCAAGACUUCAAAUAGAGGA